GUGGCUUGGCCCAGUCUCAUCCAGGAAUUAUUUUCUUUCUGGACAGGAAGAAUCUUGGUAGGAAAGAGCCCUUUGUCCAUCGGCUUAAAUAAGUGUCAUAGGACUGCUGCAGAAGCUUACAAGACAACAAACUUAAUAUCACAAAGACGCCUUCUGAAAAUGGUGGAAUGCAGAGGCAUCCAUCUGGUUCUCAUGAAAAAGACUGCGGAGGUGUCAGGGUGCCUGGGACACCUGCUUGAUGGUUCAUACCAGAGGUUAAGAAUGGAAAAGGAGGACCUGGAGUAGCUGACUCAUGUUCCAGAAUGUUCCUGGACAUAGGUGGAGAACAGAUGCUGUUGGGUGACAGGCAGAGAACACAUGCACACCUUGGAUUCUUGAGUAGAAAGCAAAAACCCUCUGCCACUAGGUGAAGAAAAGAAAUGCACCCAAACCCUCAUAGACUGCAGCAACUGCAAUUCACUUUUAUCAUAGUAUUUCCUUAGCUAUGAUUCCAGAGAGCCUAUUAAACAGAGGUGGGUACAUGUCAAUGCACUGCA
rnacentral:lncRNA from 1 species